rnacentral:sRNA from 1 species
ACUCAGACGAUGCCCUGCUGAAGAUGACCAUCAGCCAGCAAGAGUUUGGCCGCACUGGGCUUCCUGACCUGAGCAGUAUGACUGAGGAGGAGCAGAUUGCUUAUGCCAUGCAGAUGUCCCUGCAGGGAGCAGGUGAGCCAGAGCCUGGGUGGUGCCUAGGCAGAGGUUGGGGUGAGGAAGUGUAACUGAACAGACUGACCUCUCUUCCUCAGAGUUUGGCCAGGCGGAAUCAGCAGACAUUGAUGCCAGCUCAGCCAUGGACACAUCUGAGCCAGCCAAGGUGAGACCCAACCCUGCCCCCAUCAGGUCUAAAGUCCUUGAAUUUAGAUCCUCAUCCCUCUGGGGCUGGGAGCAUUUCUACCAUAGCUAAGUCCUUUGAGGAGCAGAGGGAAACACAUGGAUAUGCAUUUCUUACAUG